AGCUUUGCACAGUGGCAGUAUCAUAGCCAAUGAGGUUUAUCCAAGAUGUGAUUAUUGCCAAUUGAAAAAUUAAAUAUUUAUUUAUUAAUCUAUUUUUAAAAACCGUAAUAAAACC
ensembl:snRNA U4 U4 spliceosomal RNA